UAGCGAAGGGGGCUAGCGUUGCUCGGAAUCACUGGGCGUAAAGCGCACGUAGGCGGCUUUUUAAGUCAGGGAUGAAAUCCUGGAGCUCAACUCCAGAACUGCCUUUGAUACUGAGGAUCUUGAGUUCGGGAGAGGUGAGUGGAACUGCGAGUGUAGAGGUGAAAUUCGUAGAUAUUCGCAAGAACACCAGUGGCGAAGGCGGCUCACUGGCCCGAUACGUGACGCUGGAGG
rnacentral:rRNA from 1 species